CGCGUAGUAGUCAACAUGGUGACCCUUAUUCUUACAGCUAUUGCAUCACUGCUGGCUGCGAUAGAAGCAGGAUCUGCGCCCUGCACUAGCCUCACUGUGCCUGACUUUCUAACUGCUGACACGACUCACUGCUAUGAUGAACAGCCUCUUGACAUCUGCACGCCGUACAAUGCAAACGACACGGAGAAAGUACGUGAACAAAUCAAU